rnacentral:rRNA from 1 species
GACGAACGCUGGCGGCGUGCUUAACACAUGCAAGUCGAACGGUGAAGCGCCUUCCUUUUUGGUGGGUGUGGAUGAGUGGCGAACGGGUGAGUAACACGUGAGUAACCUGCCCCCUUCUUCUGGAUAACCGCAUGAAAGUGUGGCUAAUACGGGAUAUUCUGGGUCUGUCGCAUGAUGGGUCUGGGAAAGAUAUUGUUUCGGUGGGGGAUGGGCUCGCGGCCUAUCAGCUUGUUGGUGGGGUGAUGGCCUACCAAGGCGGUGACGGGUAGCCGGCCUGAGAGGGUGGACGGUCACACUGGGACUGAGACACGGCCCAGACUCCUACGGGAGGCAGCAGUGGGGAAUAUUGCACAAUGGGCGCAAGCCGGAUGCAGCGACGCCGCGUGAGGGAUGGAGGCCUUCGGGUUGUGAACCUCUUUCGCCAGUGAAGCAGGCCUGCCUCGUUUGUGGGUGGGUUGACGGUAGCUGGAUAAGAAGCGCCGGCUAACUACGU